rnacentral:rRNA from 1 species
UACAGAGGUCUCAAGCGUUGUUCGGAUUCAUUGGGCGUAAAGGGUGCGUAGGCGGCGGGGUAAGUCAGGUGUGAAAUCUCGGAGCUCAACUCAGAAACUGCACUUGAUACUGCCUUGCUCGAGUACUGGAGAGGAGAUUGGAAUUUACGGUGUAGCAGUGAAAUGCGUAGAUAUCGUAAGGAAGACCAGUGGCGAAGGCGAAUCUCUGGACAGUUACUGACACUGAGGCACGAAGGCCAGGGGAGCAAACAGG